rnacentral:rRNA from 1 species
UACGUAGGUUGCAAGCGUUAUUCGGAUUUACUGGGCGUAAAGCGCACCGAGGUGGCUUCUUAAGUUGGAUGUAAAAUCUCCCGGCUUAACUGGGAGGCGCCAUUCAAUACUGAGGAGCUUGAGGUCAGCAGGGGAAAGUGGAAUUCCCGGUGUAGUGGUGGAAUGCGUAGAGAUCGGGAGGAACACCAGUGGCGAAAGCGACUUUCUGGGCUGCACCUGACACUCUAGUGCGAAAGCGUGGGGGG